UACGAAGGGGGGCUAGCGUUGUUCGGAAUUACUGGGCGUAAAGGGCGCGUAGGCGGUACUUCAAGUCAGGCGUGAAAGCCCCGGGCUCAACCUGGGAACCGCGCUUGAGACUGGAGAACUAGAGUUCGGGAGAGGAUGGUGGAAUUCCCAGUGUAGAGGUGAAAUUCGUAGAUAUUGGGGAAGAACACCGAUGGCGAAGGCAGCCAUCUGGACCGACACUGACGCUGAGGCGCGAAAGCGUGGGGAGCAAACAGG
rnacentral:rRNA from 1 species